GUUGCAGUGAGCUGAGAUCACGCCACUGCACUCCAGCCUGAGUGACAGAGCGAGACUCUGUCUCAAAUAAUAAUAAUAAUAAUAAAUAAUUGCAUCUAAGUUGUGCACAAUGGCUCAUGCAUGUAAUCUCAGCACUUUGGGAGUCUGAGGUGGGCAGAUCGCUUGAGCCUAGGAGUUUGAGAUCAGCCUGGGCACCAUGGCAAGACUCCAUCUCCACAAAAAAUUAGCUGGGCAUGGUGGUAUGCACCUGUAGUCCCAGCUACCUGGGAGGUUGAGGUGGGAGGAUCACCUGAGCCCAGGAAGUUGAGGCUGCAGUGAGCUGUGAUUGAGCCACUGUACUACAGUCUGGGUGACAAAGUGAGACCCUGUCUCAAUAAUAGUAAUAGUAAUAAUAAUUGCAUCUAAUUUUCACGUCUGAGAAGAUUCUUUUAACUUAGGGCUAAAGCAAUCAAUGAUCCUUUUAAACGAGUGGUUCCUAAGCAUAUAUGCCAUAAUCAGACAUCUAGAACUGGAAAUGGACCAUCAGAUCAAAGUCCAUGAGGACUCCCACCAGCAUCAGUCUCCAAGAAUCUGUACGUGGCUCCCAGAGACUGAGACCAAGACACAUUAGCAGGAGGCAACUUAUUUGAGGAAGCACCAGAGCCAGUGCCCACAGGAAGAAUGGUCCACAGGUGCACUGGGGCCAGCACAGAUGACUGCAGCUAUGGGUCACGAGCAAUGGCAGGACAACUCAGCAGUCAAGAACCCAGCUACAGUGGAACAGGAGACAUUAAUCCUAGGAAGCAGUGUGUUUACUGGAUGGAACACAGGACUAUGGCACACUGAGAUCAAGCAUUAUUUUUGUCCCAUACUAGGGCCCAGGUACUGUCCAUUACUGAGGCUGCUUGAAGCUGAACUUCAGGCCUCCCAAGCCAUCCCCUUGUGGCUAGGUCUGAACAAAGCCUUUGAGCACUAAGUCUUCCACAGCACAUCUCCCGAUGGUGACCAUGAUCCAAUGAGUAGUUUUCCCUGUUACUCAUCUGCCUCCUGAUAGAUGUACUACAUCUGGAGAUGUGGAAUUCCUCUGCCAAGAUGUGCUUCUGCCCUUUUGGGACAUUGACUAGAUAGUCCAGAGGUGCCUGCCUCCAAGGAUCCAGUCAUUUACAGGCUGAAAGGCUGAAGAGGGGAAGCAUCAGCUGGAAGUUCUUGCCAAGAAGGAGGAACCAAGAGAGCAUGGGAACUGGAAACCAUGGAGAUAGCACAGACUGUGUGCCCACCUGCCACUGCCACAGGACACCCCCUAUAAAAUCCACCUUCUAUGUCUCUUCAUAAAUGGGCUCUGUGGCUGGGAGCAGUGGCUCAUGCCUAUAAUCUCAGCACUUUGGGAGGCCAAGGCGGGUGGAUCAUGAGGUCAGAUCCUGGCCAAGAUGAAAAAGAAAAAAGAAAAAAAGAAAAAGAAAAAGAAAGAAAAGAAAGAAAAAGAAGAAGAUAGCAAAAAGAAAAAGAAAAAAGAAAUGGGCUCUGUGUUUCCUCUAUAAAACAUCUCAAAUACAACAGUGAUUGGAAGAGAAAGUCCAACCAGACUCAGCUCUGGACUUUGGUUCAUCACUGGGAGUGGAGAAGUGCUCGUCUUCCUUUCAUGUGAACAAAGAAGCCUGUGGGUCCAGAAACCUUUGAUAGUCAUCUUGGAACGACAGGGAGAGAAGCCUGCCAAGAAUGAAACCAACAAUGAAGAAGUAGAAUUGAGAAACAGAGAGAAACUUGGUCUUGAUCUCGUCAUUUUAGGAGCUAAAUGAAGACUGGCCUGCAGCUCUGGACUGUUCAAUUACAUGAACACUUAUAUUCCCUUAUUGCUUGAAACAGCCUGUUUUACUUAAUUUAAAAGAAUAUAUCAAGGUCAGGCUCAUGCCUGUAAUCCCUUUGGGAGGCCGAGGUGGGCAGAUCACUUGAAGCCAGGAGUUCAAGACCACCCUGGCCAACAUGGUGAAACAUACAAAAUAUAAAAAAUACAAAAAAUUACCCGGGUGUGGUGGCAGGUGCUGUAAUCCCAGUUACUCAGGAGGCAGCAUCAGGAGAAUCACUUGAGCCUGGGAGAUGGAGGUUGCAGUGACCCAAGAUAAUGCCACUGCACUCCGGCCUGUGUGACAGAACAUGAUUGUCUCAAAAAAAAAAUGUACAUGUUCUUCUCUUUUCCAUUUCGGUGUAUAUGACCUUCUCUAUAGUCAGCCGCAAGUAUCUACCAACCACUGGGGAUGGGAGUGGAGAUUAGUACUCCUAAAAAAAUGGAAUUAAUUUAGGAAAAAGAAGAGUCAAAGUUCAGCUUUUUACUUGGGUGCAGAAAGGGUAAAAAGGGGAGAUAGUGGAGUAAGCAGCCUUGAAUCAUGAUUUUAACCUUUAGGCAGAAAUUCCAUUAAGGCUAUUAAAUUGACUGUGAAGAAAGCUGAAAGUAGAGGGUCUUGGAUUCCACUCCCUGUUUGGAAAUAAGACAGGAGAAAGUCUCACAGGGUGGCUCUGCACCAAUACAGGAUGGCUAAAGCAGAGUGAAAGAGCAACAUGGCACAGAUAGAGUGAGACCUGAGUUGACAGUCCUGAUCUUAUUCAGGCUUUAGCAUGGUAUGGAAGGGAUCCAGAGGUUGCUGCAUGCACUGUUAUGUACUUAGAAAGUAGCUGAUGGUGCUAGCUAGUCUGGCAGAAGGUUAUCAUGGUGGCAACAAAGUGACCUUGUAGCCAAACCUGCAGGCAAAUUACCUGGGUUGCGAAUUCUCUGGGAGUCACAGCCAGACAUCAGGGGGAUCAACAGUGCCAGUGUCAACCAAGUAGGGACAGAGAUAAUCUGCCCUGUUGCGUUGGCUUGAGUUUCCCCAUCAAUGAUUCCUCAUGUGAUUUAAAAUGUUUUAAUUGUACUCAUAUUUUUUUCUGAGAGUACUGUGUACUAUGGGUGGUGACACACUUGACAUUUGUAUUUGCAUUUUUUAGCCCCCAAUUUUUUUUUUUAAAGACAAGGUCUUGGUCUGUGGUCCAGUCUGGAAUGCACUGGCAUGAUCCUAGCUCAUUGCAUCCUUGAACUCCUGUGCUCAAGUGAUCCUCCCACCUCAACCUCCUGAGUAGCUAGGACUACAGGUGUGUACCAUCACACCUGACUGUUUUUAAUUGCUUUAUUUUUUGUAGUGAUCAGGUCUUGCUAUGUUGCCCAGGCCAGUCUUGAAAUUCUGGUCUCAAGUGAUCCUCCUGCCUCAGCCUCCCAAAGUGCUGGGAUUACAGGUGUGAACCACCACACCUGGCCCAAGUUAACAUUUUUUUAUUGUGGCAAAAUAUGCAUAACAUAAAAUUUACCAUUUUCACCAUUUAAAAAUUUGUAAACUUCAUUUUAUUAUUUAAUGUGUAAGACUAAUAAAAAUACCAUGAAAAGCAAUUAGAAUCAUAAAUAUAGUAUUGUGGUGUUUUUUGUUUUUUUUGAGAUGGUGUCUCGCUCUGUUGCCCAGGCUGGAGUGCAAUGGCAUGGUCUCGACUCAUUGCAACCUCUGCCUGCUGGUUCAAGUGAUUCUCCUGCAUCAGCCUCCCAAGUAGAUGGGACUAUAGGUGCGUGCCACCACAUCUGGCUAGUUUUUGUAUUUCUAGUAGAGACAGGGUUUUACUAUGUUGGCGAGGGAGAUUCAAACUCCUGACCUCGUGAUCCACCUGCCUCGGCCUCCCAAAGUGCUGGGAUUAUAGGCGUGAGCCACAGCACCCGGCCUGUAAUGGUUUUUUCUAUGUAGACUUUGAAAUUCUUUGAUUAUUGCAUUAUAAACCAUUAAUCUAAGUAAUUAAGGAAACAUCCAGAGAAUUUUCUUUCACUAAAUGUUUAAAGGAGUUUCUUUUCUUUUAAUUUAGAUCGUAGUUGAAGGAGAUGGAGAAAGAGUAGGUCCUUUUUUUUUUUUUUUUUUUUUUUUGAGACAGUUUCGCUCUUGUCACCCAGGCUGGAGUGCAAUGGCGUGAUCUCAGCUCACUGCAACCUCUGCCUCCUGGGUUCAAGCAAUUAUCCUGCCUCAGCCUUCUGAGUAGCUGAGAUUACAGGCGCCCACUACCAUGGCUGGCUAAUUUUUGUAUUUUUAGUAGAGAUGGGGUUUCAUGAUGUUGGCCAGGCCGGCCUCAAACUCCUGACCACAGGUGAUUCUCCCGCCUUGGCCUCCCAAACUGCUAGGAUUGCAGGCAUGAGCCACCGCACCUAGUGAGCAGGUCCUUCUUAGAUUACUGAUUGAAAUUGCAGUGUAGACCCUUUCAUUUUCUUUUCAUAAUCUUCAAAUUUCUCAUACUGAGUGACAAAGAAUUUAUUCCUCCAG
rnacentral:lncRNA from 10 species